UAAGGAAUAUUGGACAAUGGACGCAAGUCUGAUCCAGCCAUGCCGCGUGAAGGAUGAAUGCCCUCUGGGUUGUAAACUUCUUUUAUAGGGGAAGAAAGAUACUUUUUUUAAGGUAGUUGACGGUACCCUAUGAAUAAGCACCGGCUAACUCCGUGCCAGCAGCCGCGGUAAUACGGAGGGUGCAAGCGUUAUCCGGAUUUACUGGGUUUAAAGGGUGCGUAGGCGGGCAUGUAAGUCAGUGGUGAAAUACCGGAGCUUAACUUCGGAACUGCCAUUGAUACUAUAUGUCUUGAAUAUUGUGGAGGUAAGCGGAAUAUGUCAUGUAGCGGUGAAAUGCAUAGAUAUGACAUAGAGCACCGAUUGCGGAGGCAGCUUGCUACGCAAAUAUUGACGCUGAGGCACGAAAGCGUGGGGAUCAAACA
rnacentral:rRNA from 1 species